AUCUACGGCCAUGCCACCCUGAACAAACCUGAUGCCUUUUGAUCUCAGAAGCUAAGCAGGGUCGGCCCUAGUUAGUACUUGGAUGGGAGACCACCUAGGAAAACCAGGUGCUGUAGGCA
rfam:Pteropus alecto contig79984, whole genome shotgun sequence.